rnacentral:tRNA from 1 species
GGGGUCGUGGCUCAGUGGUAGAGUGUUUGCCUAGCAUGCAAGAGGCACUGGGUCCGAUCCUCAGCACUACA